AGAUUCAGACCCAAUUAGAACACUCUGUAUUAAGCCAGCAAUAUGGAGUCUCGCUUUGUCACCCAGGCUGGAGUGCAGUGGCACUAUCUCUGCUCACCGCAAGCUCUGCCUCCCGGGUUCACGCCAUUCUCCUGCCUCAGCCUCCUGAGUAGCUGGGACUACAGGUGCCCGCCACCGUGCCCGGCUAAUUUUUUGUAUUUUUAGUAGAGACGGGGUUUCAUCGUGUUAGCCAGGAUGGUCUCGAUCUCCUGACCUUGUGAUCCGCCCGCCUCAGCCUCCCAAAGUGCUGGGAUUACAGGCGUGAGCCACUGCGCCUGGCCCUAAUUUUGUUUCUUAAUUUUAGGAUAGAUUAUUUAAUUCACAUAAUUUCUCCUUAUAGUUGUAUUCAACCAAUUGAAAUUCUCAUCUAAAAUAAAAAGAAUAGCUUAAAAAAUC
rnacentral:lncRNA from 1 species